ACGAACGCUGGCGGCGUGCUUAACACAUGCAAGUCGAACGAGAGGACAAGAGAAGCUUGCUUCUUUGGAAUCGAGUGGCAAACGGGUGAGUAACACGUAAACAACCUGCCUUCAGGAUGGGGACAACAGACGGAAACGACUGCUAAUACCGAAUACGCUUGGGAGACCGCAUGAUCUUCCAAGGAAAGGGUGGCCUCUACUUGUAAGCUAUCGCCUGAAGAGGGGGUUUGCGUCUGAUUAGGCAGUUGGUGAGGUAACGGCCCACCAAACCUACGAUCAGUAGCCGGUCUGAGAGGAUGAACGGCCACACUGGAACUGAGACACGGUCCAGACUCCUACGGGAGGCAGCAGUGGGGAAUCUUCCGCAAUGGGCGAAAGCCUGACGGAGCAACGCCGCGUGAGUGAUGACGGCCUUCGGGUUGUAAAGCUCUGUGAUCGGGGACGAACGGUCCGUAAGCCAAUACCUUAUGGAAGUGACGGUACCCGAAUAGCAAGCCACGGCUAACUACGUG
rnacentral:rRNA from 1 species